AAACGUAAAGGGGAAAUGUAACGUGUAUGAAAUAGAAAUGUUUAAUUUAAUUUGAAUUUCGACAUUUUUUAUUUAUGCUUCUAAACAAAAUACAAAAUUAUAAAUAUUAAAUUAUGAGAGGACGGGGAUUUUCUUUUCGAGCUCCGCCAUAAAUUCAUUAUAUGAGUCUUCAGUGUGGUGUUCUCGAUGGGCCGUGAUAUAUUGUGGCGAAGUAAAGGUUCGCUGGAGCUGGGGUUAUAGGAUUGCUCAGUGAAAGCUUCUAGUGAAGGCGUUUGGUCAGUAACCACUGAUGCGUUUUGGUUUUUUAGGCUCUCAGCUCCUUCUUCUGUUGAGGAUUCGAGAAUUUUCCGGGUGUGCCUAGGAAAGUAUUCUUCAUUUUGAUUCACUGGGGUUAUUUUGAUGUAAUUGUCUUCGCUUGAAGGAAUAGUUUUUAAGAUUUUUGUGCACUCUCCUUUGCCUAGUAUCUUCCAUGCUGCAAAAUGAUAAAACCCGUAGUUAGAAAUAUACUUAUGUAUGUACAUAUAAACAUGUAUUAAGAUUGUAACAAAAUUGUAGUUCAAGUUGGUUGGACUUUGGAACUCACCGAUUCAAUUAACCUAUUGGUUCCAUAAAAUACAUUACAAUUUUUUUAUUUGCAACAUGGUA